rnacentral:tRNA from 1 species
GCGGACGUGGUGGAAUGGUAGACACGCUGGUCUUAGAAAUCAGUGCCGAAAGGCGUGGAGGUUCGAGUCCUCUCAUCCGCACCA